GCUCAAGUUUUCAACAAAAUUUAGAUGAAGCUGCAUUCACUACCACUUAAAAUACAAAUCUGAUUGUACCUUCCACAAACACUUUGAUAACUCAAUCAAGUGCUGGUCAAAGCUCAAGUUUUCAACAAAAUGUAAAUGUAGAUGCACAGGCUUGGUUCACUGACACUGAAAAUACAAAUCUGAUUGUACCUUCCACAAACACUUCCUGUGCUGGUGAAAGUACAAUAAAUAUUGCAAAUGCUCUAAUUGACUUACAUCACAGUCAUAGUCCGCGAUUUAUAAAUAGCCAGAAAGGAAAACCUCUGUUAUUUUAUAACAUGUUUUUAUAUAGAAUUGAUCACCAUAAAGAUUUGAUUAGUUAUUA